rnacentral:sRNA from 1 species
GAAGCAGCUAUCACAGGGUCUGGAACAUAGUACAUCCCAGCCUUCUUGCACAUAGAAACACUACACAGCACUUCAGCUGUAUGUUUGGGGGCCAUUUUAAACAGCAAAAUCAUCAACAGGAAGCAGAAAAUUGUAAAAAUUGUGGCACUAAAUAGACCAUGUAAAGGACACAUGUUUGCAAUAAGAAAGCUGAAACAAGAAGGGGGAGUGUCACCUUAUUUGAUCCAGCUAGAAACUCAGGUGCUGGUAUUCCAGCAACACUCAGGCGGCUGCUCCAGGAGGCUGCAGAGGGGUCCUUUUUAGCCGUCAACAAAACUGGCUAUGGUCACGCCCAUUGGGAAACUCAUUGCUGCCUUCAAGGUGAUGGCCACAGUGGCAGAACCUAGGAAGCCAAGAAGAAACCAGAGAAUGGAGACACAUGGCAGCAAUGGCAAGUCAUCAGACCCAGGAUUUCCCAAAGAACACUGGUCCAGGAAGAUGCUCUGUGAAAAAGUGUUCCCUGGUCAGAGAAAUUUGUGAAACACUUUGCAUAAUACUUAAAAGAAUGUAUGGCACAUCAAAGGUAAUAUGCAAUAAAAGAAUUCAUUUUUUUAAAA